GAGUCUUCGGUAAUGGACGGG
rnacentral:miRNA from 1 species